rnacentral:rRNA from 1 species
UACGUAGGGAGCGAGCGUUGUCCGGAAUUACUGGGUGUAAAGGGAGCGUAGGCGGGGAUGCAAGUUGGGUGUUAAAUCUACCGGCUCAACUGGUAGUCGCACUCAAAACUGCAGCUCUUGAGUGAAGUAGAGGCAGGCGGAAUUCCUAGUGUAGCGGUGAAAUGCGUAGAUAUAUGGAAGAACACCAGUGGCGAAGGCGGCUCUCUGGUCUGUAACUGACGCUGAGGCUCGAAAGCAUGGGUAGCGAACAGG